rnacentral:lncRNA from 1 species
ACUCCAUAGGUUUCCCAAAGUUCAAACAUGGCCAGUACACACUGCAAAGACCAAGUCUAUCAUACUGUAUAUGUCGCAUUUUAAAAAUAAUAAUAAUAAUAAAGUCUGAUGCUUGAGGUGACCAUUCAUUCUUUGCUUACAGUCAAGCUGAUGGCACUGCACAAACAAGAGGCUGUGAGCAGCAUAGGUCAUGAUUCUUCAAGAGCUCAUAAGAUUUAUCUGGCAUGGUCAAUGGCAGUGUAGAAGCAAAAAGGUGUCAGACAAUUGCUGUAGCUAACAAUGAACUAAAAUCUAGUGGCUGAUGAUAUCUUUGGCCCGUUCCAUCUUCUCCAUCCUCUGAAUUUCCUGCCUGAGGCGUUUGAAAGACAGAAAAGGCUUCUAAUACGUAUGGGUUGUCACAGGUACCUUCAGUGAGUUUUGCUGCAACCCACAUAACAAUUAUAACAAAUUUAGUUUAGAAGUGUUAGAAUACUUAUUUAUACUUUAUUGUGGACUGUGCAUGUUAAAGAACAUACAUGCUACUGUGCCGCCCAGUGCAAUCUAUUUGCCUGUCUUGUAGUUCAGACUUUACACCACCAGAUGGGAGAAUUUUUUUUUUAAGCUUGAUUGGCAAACUUACCAUACAUACAUACAUACAUACAUACAUGUAUAUGUUAAAUGUUUAUUUCUAGACAAUGCUACAAACUCAGCUUCCCUGGAACUCUUUUGCUGAGACCCACAGAGACAUCACUUGCAGAGGUUCAGCAGUUCAGUGUGCGCUGUGGUCCAGAGACUUUCCACUUUUUUUUUAGGUGGGGAUUUAGUCAAAUUGUGUCACACACAUGAUCACACUUUUGAAAGUAAAUGCAUUUUGUGGGUUAAAAUGUCACAAUCAAACAGAACAAAUGAAUAAUUAGUUACAUUACAUUUAGAAUUUAGAACAUUUCAGU